rnacentral:rRNA from 1 species
AUUGAACGCUGGCGGCAGGCCUAACACAUGCAAGUCGAGCGGAUGAAGGGAGCUUGCUCCUGGAUUCAGCGGCGGACGGGUGAGUAAUGCCUAGGAAUCUGCCUGGCAGUGGGGGAUAACGUCCGUAAACGGGCGCUAAUACCGCAUACGUCCUGAGGGAGAAAGUGGGGGAUCUUCGGACCUCACGCUAUCAGAUGAGCCUAGGUCGGAUUAGCUAGUUGGUGGGGUAAAGGCCUACCAAGGCGACGAUCCGUAACUGGUCUGAGAGGAUGAUCAGUCACACUGGAACUGAGACACGGUCCAGACUCCUACGGGAGGCAGCAGUGGGGAAUAUUGGACAAUGGGCGAAAGCCUGAUCCAGCCAUGCCGCGUGUGUGAAGAAGGUCUUCGGAUUGUAAAGCACUUUAAGUUGGGAGGAAGGGCAGUAAGUUAAUACCUUGCUGUUUUGACGUUACCAACAGAAUAAGCACCGGCUAACUUCGUG